rnacentral:rRNA from 1 species
UGGGGAAUAUUGGACAAUGGGCGCAAGCCUGAUCCAGCCAUGCCGCGUGAGUGAUGAAGGCCCUAGGGUUGUAAAGCUCUUUCACCGGUGAAGAUAAUGACGGUAACCGGAGAAGAAGCCCCGGCUAACUUCGUGCCAGCAGCCGCGGUAAUACGAAGGGGGCUAGCGUUGUUCGGAUUUACUGGGCGUAAAGCGCACGUAGGCGGACUAUUAAGUCAGGGGUGAAAUCCCGGGGCUCAACCCCGGAACUGCCUUUGAUACUGGUAGUCUUGAGUUCGAGAGAGGUGAGUGGAAUUCCGAGUGUAGAGGUGAAAUUCGUAGAUAUUCGGAGGAACACCAGUGGCGAAGGCGGCUCACUGGCUCGAUACUGACGCUGAGGUGCAAAAGCGUGGGGAGCAAACAGG